CCUACGGGGGGCAGCAGUGGGGAAUUGUUCGCAAUGGGCGCAAGCCUGACGACGCAACGCCGCGUGGAGGAUGAAGGUCUUCGGAUUGUAAACUCCUGUUGCUCGGGAAGAAUGGCUCCGACCUAACACGUCGGAGUGUGACGGUACCGGGUGAGGAAGCCCCGGCUAACUCUGUGCCAGCAGCCGCGGUAAUACAGAGGGGGCAAGCGUUGUUCGGAAUUACUGGGCGUAAAGGGCGCGUAGGCGGCCUGUUAAGUCGAACGUGAAAUCCCCGGGCUCAACCCGGGAACUGCGUCCGAUACUGGCAGGCUCGAAUUCGGGAGAGGGAUGUGGAAUUCCAGGUGUAGCGGUGAAAUGCGUAGAUAUCUGGAGGAACACCGGUGGCGAAGGCGGCAUCCUGGACCGACAUUGACGCUGAUGCGCGAAAGCCAGGGGAGCAA
rnacentral:rRNA from 1 species